UCACGCCAGUGGCAUCGCCGGGUAGCUAUGUUCGGAAGAGAUAACCGCUGAAAGCAUCUAAGCGGGAAACUCGCCUUAAGAUGAGAUAUCCCUGGGGACUAGAUCCCCUUGAAGGGUCGUUCGAGACCAGGACGUUGAUAGGUCAGGUGUGUAAGCGCAGUAAUGCGUUCAGCUAACUGAUACUAAUUGCCCGUAAGGCUUGAUCCU
rnacentral:rRNA from 2 species